GACGAACGCUGGCGGCGUGCUUAACACAUGCAAGUCGAGCGGUAAGGCCCUUUCGGGGGUACACGAGCGGCGAACGGGUGAGUAACACGUGGGUGACCUGCCCUCAGCUCUGGGAUAAGCCUGGGAAACCGGGUCUAAUACCGGAUAUGACUCCAUGACGCAUGUUGUGGGGUGGAAAGCCUUGUGCGGCUGAGGAUGGGCCCGCGGCCUAUCAGCUUGUUGGUGGGGUGAUGGCCUACCAAGGCGACGACGGGUAGCCGGCCUGAGAGGGCGACCGGCCACACUGGGACUGCGACACGGGCCAGACUCCUACGGGAGGCAGCAGUAAGGAAUAUUGCGCAAUGGGCGAAAGCCUGACGCAGCGACGCCGCGUGGGGAUGAAGGUCUU
rnacentral:rRNA from 1 species